rnacentral:lncRNA from 1 species
CAGUGGUUCUCAGCCAUGGAUGUGUCGGGGACCCCUUGUGGACUGGUGGAAGUGAUGGAGGACCCCUUGCAGCGAAGGGGAGGGAGGGGGGGGGGUACGUAGGUAAAUUAACACAACUGGAGCCUGAAACAGGUGCCUUUUAUUGCUACCAAAAACAUCAAACGUGGCACAACACUUCGCUUUGGACA